ACUAUAGCUCAGGUGGUAGAGCGCCACAUUGGUAAUGUGGAGGUCACGGGUUCGACUCCCGUUAGU
rnacentral:tRNA from 1 species